rnacentral:rRNA from 1 species
UGGGGAAUAUUGCGCAAUGGGGGAAACCCUGACGCAGCAACGCCGCGUGAAGGAAGAAGGCCUUCGGGUCGUAAACCUCUGUCUAGAGGGAAGAAACCAUUGAGGUCGAACAGGCCUCUUUGCUGACGGUACCUCUGAAGGAAGCACCGGCUAACUCCGUGCCAGCAGCCGCGGUAAUACGGAGGGUGCGAGCGUUAAUCGGAAUCACUGGGCGUAAAGCGCACGUAGGCGGUGUCGUAAGUCGGAUGUGAAAGCCCUCGGCUCAACCGGGGAACUGCAUUCGAUACUGCGAUGCUUGAGUGCCGGAGAGGGUGGCGGAAUUCCAGGUGUAGGAGUGAAAUCCGUAGAUAUCUGAAGGAACACCAGUGGCGAAGGCGGCCACCUGGCCGGCAACUGACGCUGAGGUGCGAAAGCGUGGGGAUCAAACA